UCCCUGCCAAGGUGCUCAAGAACUUCUCUGCAGUUCUUGCCUAAGCAGAGAAGAAGUAGGCUGCUUAUGGUAAUAAUGGCUUCUAACUUUGAACUUAACAGUCUUUCUCAAGAUUCUCAAAUCAUGUGGCUUGGAAUGAAAUGUUACUAAAGCCAUCUCCAUGUAUUUUGCUCAUUUCCAUUGCCUUGUGAACAAAGGUUUUUGAGCCAAUCAGAAGCAUCUGCAUGCUGACUUCAGACUGCUAACUAAAGUUUAAUGUAG